rfam:Gossypium raimondii chromosome 13, whole genome shotgun sequence.
AAGCCAUGCAACGGACAUUUUCUAAUUAACUCCUUGAAUCACUCUUAUGCUUCAUAUAAUAUUUCAUCCUCAAAUUAUCGAAAGGACAUAAUAUCGUUCCUUAUUUU